rnacentral:rRNA from 1 species
UACGUAGGGUCCGAGCGUUGUCCGGAGUUAUUGGGCGUAAAGAGCUCGUAGGCGGUCUGUCGCGUCUGCUGUGAAAACUCGGGGCUUAACCCCGGGCCUGCAGUGGGUACGGGCAGACUAGAGUGCGGUAGGGGAGACUGGAAUUCCUGGUGUAGCGGUGAAAUGCGCAGAUAUCAGGAGGAACACCGGUGGCGAAGGCGGGUCUCUGGGCCGUAACUGACGCUGAGGAGCGAAAGCAUGGGGAGCGAACAGG